UGGGGAAUAUUGCACAAUGGGGGAAACCCUGAUGCAGCAACGCCGCGUGAGUGAUGAAGGUUUUCGGAUCGUAAAGCUCUGUCUUUGGGGAAGAUAAUGACGGUACCCAAGGAGGAGGCCACGGCUAACUACGUACCAG
rnacentral:rRNA from 1 species